GUGCUCUCCCGAGCCGGGGCCAUGACACCUGCAAGGCAUUUCUCAGCAAGAUUGAGGACCGUGUUUGAGGGCGUGGGGCAUUGGGCUUUGUCCACACAGGCUGGCCUCAAGCCCAGCAGGCUACUGCCACAGCAGGCUUCUCCCAGGCUGCUCUCGGUCAGCUGUGCGGACCUCGCCAAGCGUCAGGAACUUCCGGGGAAGAAGCCGCUCUCUGAGAAAAAGCUGAAAAGGUAUUUUGUGGACUAUCGGAGAGUGCUUGUCUGUGGAGGAAACGGAGGCGCUGGGGCAAGCUGCUUCCACAGUGAGCCCCGCAAGGAGUUUGGAGGCCCUGAUGGAGGGGAUGGAGGCAACGGUGGACACGUCAUUCUGAGAGCUGACCAGCAAGUCAAGUCCCUGUCGUCGGUCCUGUCGCGGUACCAGGGUUUCAGUGGAGAAGAUGGUGGGAGUAAAAACUGCUUCGGGCGCAGUGGCGCCGUCCUCUACAUCCGGGUGAGCCAAGACUGCCGGAGCUGGCCCUGUCCCCGUUGUUCUGGAUCAUCCAGCUCCUGGGGGCCACCGUGUGACCCACGGGGCCCCUGUGACUUGAUGCCCACAGCCAGGAAACAGCACAAUGGAAACGGAGGCUGGCAGACAGCGGGAAAGCAGCCCCACCCCUCAAAGCAAACCCAGACGGGCGUUUGUACCAGGGUUGCACCAUGUCCAUGUCUAGUUAAAAGCUCAUGAAAUGAUUCUCUUAAAAAGAGGGAGUCCACGGCACGGACGCUUCCUCCGUCUCUGACCC
rnacentral:sRNA from 1 species